CACGGAGGCAGGGAUUUUGUUUUUCUGUAUCUCUAGAGACUAAAAAAGAGCAUAGCAUAUGGAAGAGGUGUAAUAAAUAUUAGUGAAUGAAAGCUAUUUAGCUGAAAUUUUGUUACACAGCUAUGUUUUUUUAUAACUAAUUCAAAUCUCCAGUCAUUCAAUGAAGUCCAUAAUGUGUUUACAUUUCUGUAUGGCUGUGACAGGACACUUAAUAACUCCGAGGGUCACCAACAUGCUUCACUAAGUGGCAUUAAUUUUGGCAAAUUCACUAUGGAGUCUAGUCCUCAGCCAUGCAAGUUAAGAAGUGUGAUCUCAGCAGUGUCUAAGGCCAGGUAGGGCCCUGAGAUGCUGAUUUGUCUUGAAUCUCCUAGGAGAUCAGGAGAGAAGACAGAGUACCCAUUUAUUUAUAAUGAGAAACCUAAUUGUUGAGUGAGCUGAUCCUUGCAGCCACUUCACCAGUACAUUCUCCUCUUGGAAGCAGGUUAUGUGAGAAGACAAGCGAUGAGAGUGUUCAGUGAACACAAAACCAGGACAAGGCAUUCGCCUCAGCCAGACUGAUACAUCCAUCCAUCCCUGUCCUGCGUGCCACGUGCUGUGGUCCCUCCUGACAAGGAUCUUCAAGUCAUGGUGGCUCUGGUAGCCCUGAACUUCAAUAUUGACUUGUCGGCCUCAGGAGACUGCUUAGAGUUCGUAUGGCUUCUCCGCCUCUCACCCCAUGCCGAGAAUCAGCAAACCACCCAAGGGGAAAAGAAUAUGAUGGGCCUCCUCAGCCCUGGCCGUUCCAUGCAGAAACCCCCGACUCAAGAGCAGAAGGACUGGAGAGGACCCCUGGGCCCCACUUCCCUCCUCACUGAGUGACCUUGGACAAGUCAGGGCCCCUCUCUCAGUUCUAGGUACUUUCGCCAUAAGUGUUCUGCUGUAGACAUCUUUGCCAAACAUUUUUGCAGCAUAACUAGCUGGUGGUGAGGCAAUUUUGCCAUAAAAGAUAAAAGAACUGGUUGACCAGUUUGGUUUCAACUGGUUGACAGUUGAACUGGUUUCAUUUCUCUACUGAGGCAGUUCUCCCGUUUUUAUACCAUAUAAAUCUCAGCUCCGUGUUUCCCAUAGAACUUUGGAACGUCUGUCAGCGAACAUGUGACAAUAGGUUGAGAAUAAACAACAGUGUGGAAGGCUUUUCACAGCACAGUACACAGCUCAGUUAUAAAUGUGCACCUCUUAUCUAGAAAGUGAUACCCUCUCAAAGACGGAAGAAAUCUUAGUGAAAAAGAAAAAGUGCGAUGGAUGCUGAACAAGGAGACUGACAAGCAGAAAAAAAAAGUACAAUACUAUGAACGAAAGACUUCGGAGACAAGUGCUUAGGUACAACCCACAAAAGAAAAUCAGUUAUGUGUGCAGUAUUGCCAUGAAUCUACACACAUUUUAAACGUAUUCAAAUAUUUUGUAUUUUGCAAUAAAGACUUUUUAAUUUUGUUAUUCAUUUCUCAUGUUUCAUUAUGUCCUUU